rnacentral:rRNA from 1 species
GACAUCCCGAUGCUAUUUCUAGAGAUAGAAAGUUACUUCGGUACAUCGGUGACAGGUGGUGCAUGGUUGUCGUCAGCUCGUGUCGUGAGAUGUUGGGUUAAGUCCCGCAACGAGCGCAACCCCUAUUGUUAGUUGCCAUCAUUCAGUUGGGCACUCUAGCGAGACUGCCGGUAAUAAACCGGAGGAAGGUGGGGAUGACGUCAAAUCAUCAUGCCCCUUAUGACCUGGGCUACACACGUGCUACAAUGGUUGGUACAACGAGUUGCGAGUCGGUGACGGCGAGCUAAUCUCUUAAAGCCAAUCUCAGUUCGGAUUGUAGGCUGCAACUCGCCUACAUGAAGUCGGAAUCGCUAGUAAUCGCGGAUCAGCACGCCGCGGUGAAUACGUUCCCGGGCCUU